rnacentral:rRNA from 1 species
UGCCAGCAGCCGCGGUAAUACGGAGGGGACUAGCGUUGUUCGGAAUUACUGGGCGUAAAGCGCGCGUAGGCGGGCUAGUCAGUUGGGGGUGAAAGCCCGGAGCUCAACUCCGGAACUGCCUUCAAUACUGCUAGUCUAGAGUCCGAGAGAGGUGAGUGGAAUUCCCAGUGUAGAGGUGAAAUUCGUAGAUAUUGGGAAGAACACCAGUGGCGAAGGCGGCUCACUGGCUCGGUACUGACGCUGAGGUGCGAAAGCGUGGGGAGCAAACAGGAUUAGAUA